AAAGAGUCCACGCGUCAGCUAUGCAAGGGUUCCACGCACAAGCAGGCUGGCAUGAGGUGGUGAAGGGAUCACGGUGAAAUUUUCAAUUAAAUACCCUGCAGAAGUGAUCAUCGUCUUCCUCGCGCCAUUCUUUUCCCCAUGCCCGAGCUCCACACCUCGCUGAAAUUCCCCAUCCUCAGAUCAUCUACCAUCAAAUUCUUGCAACCACAUAAUCUCCAGACAACCACGAACCAGUUUUGGGGAAACAAUUUGCUCUCUUCCACCACAGCCGCCGGUCAUCGAGCUCCCUGCUUCUGUUCGCCGUCAUGCUGAGAAGAGUCUGAAGCACUUGAAGUGCAAUUUGUGGAAUUAUUUGAAGAUUCCCAGGAGACUAUUGAGCUUAUUACUGUUGUUGAAGGGGUUUCUGAAGAUACUAACUUAGCAGGGACCCAAGGCAAGCCCCGAUGCAUUUAUACCUAUGCUUUCUAUAAUUAUUUUGCAAUCAUCAAAAUUGGUUUAUUUCAUGAUUGUGCAUUAGGCUAGGAGUUGAUUGCAACCCAAUUCUCUUAUGCAUAAUCCCUCCUUGUUAGUAGGACAUCUUCGCAAUCUGUUCAAACUUAAUUAGUACUACACCUAUGCUUAGCAAUGCUUAGUUGUUACUUUAUAGUAACCUUGUUACUUGAAUACCUAAGGUUAAUCUGGCUCUCACUUUAAUCAAGGAAAUGGCUUAUUUUUAAAGUUGUGGGUAGAAGCUAGUGAUGUAGUUCUGCCCAUUGAAAUUAAGUUGUUAAACACCGUUCGUUGUUUUAACCUUCGAUCAAGUGAUACUACUUGGUUGCUUACUGCCAUUGGGAACCAGCAAGCCCGGUAAGUUAGUUGGCUGUUGGAUUGGAAAUAAUUUAUACCCGUGCUUGUUGUGUGGGAGAAAGGCAAGGGCCUAGCCUGAAACUCACAUCGGAGAUUAGGCCAGACGUGGGGUCCCAUGUGGGGGUGCGCCUCUGGGUUCAGGUAACUUUGUUUUUGGUCCUUGAGUACAGCUAAUUGAAAGGUUGUUACGUACAGUCCUUGGAACUGUGCAUAACUGGUAAUUAAGUAUCUCCUGCAGGAUGUAAAUCGGUCUGCAUCGCCGCAAUUCUCGGUUAUGAAUGCACUUCAUCAUCGCUUGAGCAUCGUAGCUAAGAAACAUAAUGGUGAUGUUUUUCUUGAAAUUAAUAUUGCUGGAUGUUUAGUGCUUCUUGUUAUGAAAAAGAUUUUAUCACCUAGAUGUUAAGUACUCCCUCCUUCUAUCUAUCGGAGUCGUCUUACCAAAUUUUUUUUUCCAGAAGUCAGAGUCGUCUAAUGUACGGGCCUCGUCCCCAGCCGCCCGCGCUCGUCGUACGAGAUGCAGUACUCCUCGUAUCAAACGCGGCAAUUGAUGCAGCGCCGUCUCCCGUUGCUUGAAAUAUCACCCUCCGUUCUCUCCCGUUAAAGUUCGUGGCCGCGUGGCCGACGCUACGAGGCCACGCCGCCGAGUCGCUCCACGCCGCCGCGCUGAGUCGCUCCACUGCGACACUGCUGCAAGAGAUGGAUCGCAAGGUAAUAUUUUUGGUUCCUACGAGUCCUAUAGAACCACUUUUCGUCAAUGUACACAACAUUGUACAGUGGUUUAAAAGAUAAAGAUUGAUCAUUCAGCAUGGACAAA